GUGGGUAGUUUGACUGGGGCGGUCUCCUCCUAAAGAGUAACGGAGGAGCACGAAGGUUGGCUAAUCCUGGUCGGACAUCAGGAGGUUAGUGCAAUGGCAUAAGCCAGCUUGACUGCGAGCGUGACGGCGCGAGCAGGUGCGAAAGCAGGUCAUAGUGAUCCGGUGGUUCUGAAUGGAAGGGCCAUCGCUCAACGGAUAAAAGGUACUCCGGGGAUAACAGGCUGAUACCGCCCAAGAGUUCAUAUCGACGGCGGUGUUUGGCACCUCGAUGUCGGCUCAUCACAUCCUGGGGCUGAAGUAGGUCCCAAGGGUAUGGCUGUUCGCCAUUUAAAGUGGUACGCGAGCUGGGUUUAGAACGUCGUGAGACAGUUCGGUCCCUAUCUGCCGUGGGCGCUGGAGAACUGAGGGGGGCUGCUCCUAGUACGAGAGGACCGGAGUGGACGCAUCACUGGUGUUCGGGUUGUCAUGCCAAUGGCACUGCCCGGUAGCUAAAUGCGGAAGAGAUAAGUGCUGAAAGCAUCUAAGCACGAAACUUGCCCCGAGAUGAGUUCUCCCUGAGACUUUAGGUCUCCUGAAGGAACGUUGAAGACGACGACGUUGAUAGGCCGGGUGUGUAAGCGCAGCGAUGCGUUGAGCUAACCGGUACUAAUGAACCGUGAGGCUUAACCUUA
rnacentral:rRNA from 1 species